CAGUAGCGUAUAUUAAAGUUGUUGCAGUUAAAAAGCUCGUAGUUGGAUUUCGGGGUGGCCUGCCUGGUCCACCGCAAGGUGAGUACUGGUCAGCCGCCCUUCCUCUCGAAAGCCCCGACUGCUCUUCAUUGCAGUGGUCGGGUAGUUCGGGACGUUUACUUUGAAAAAAUUAGAGUGUUCAAGGCAGGCCGUCGCCUGAAUACAUUAGCAUGGAAUAAUGGAAGAGGACCUCGGUCCUAUUUUGUUGGUUUCUAGGGCCGAAGUAAUGAUUAAGAGGGACAGUUGGGGGCAUUCGUAUUUAAUUGUCAGAGGUGAAAUUCUUGGAUUUAUGAAAGACGAACUAGUGCGAAAGCAUUUGCCAAGGAUGUUUUCAUUAA
rnacentral:rRNA from 1 species